GAAUGGUUGGAAAUCAUUCAUAGAGUGUAAAGGCAUAAGGGAGCUUGACUGCGAGACCUACAAGUCGAGCAGGGUCGAAAGACGGACUUAGUGAUCCGGUGGUUCCGCAUGGAAGGGCCAUCGCUCAACGGAUAAAAGCUACCCCGGGGAUAACAGGCUUAUCUCCCCCAAGAGUUCACAUCGACGGGGAGGUUUGGCACCUCGAUGUCGGCUCAUCGCAUCCUGGGGCUGUAGUCGGUCCCAAGGGUUGG
rnacentral:rRNA from 1 species